rnacentral:rRNA from 1 species
AGAGGGGGCAAGCGCUGUUCGGAAUUACUGGGCGUAAAGGGCGCGUAGGCGGCCCUCUAAGUCGAACGUGAAAUCCCUGGGCUCAACCCAGGAACUGCGUCCGAGACUGGAGGGCUAGAAUCCGGGAGAGGGAUGUGGAAUUCCAGGUGUAGCGGUGAAAUGCGUAGAUAUCUGGAGGAACAUCGGUGGCGAAGGCGGCAUCCUGGACCGGUAUUGACGCUGAGGCGCGAAAGCCAGGGGAGCAAACGGGAUUAGAUACCCCGGUAGUCCUGGCCCUAAACGAUGAAUGCUUGGUGUGGCGGGUAUCGAUCCCUGCCGUGCCGAAGCUAACGCAUUAAGCAUUCCGCCUGGGGAGUACGGUCGCAAGGCUG